rnacentral:lncRNA from 1 species
CAAAGGCUAUAAAACUAAACAGGGAGGGGCCCUUAAUAAAGCAUAAUCCAAAUUUUGCCCCCUAUCAAGACAUAUAUACACAUACAUUUAGGCAGUCUUUGACUUUAGUAUUUUCAGCUUUUGAAUAGCCCACCCUUUCACAUAUUGUACCAACAGUCUAAAUUACCUUUCAUAUGCCAAAGUGUGACUUUCAUAUAUCAGUUAAUGAAUAACUGUUGACCUGUUUUCACAAUGUGAGCUACUUACCAGCAAACAGGGAAGUUUUGUCUAUAUAGCGGUGUUUGUACAAACGUGAUCAUUUUAUUGUUCUUUGCUCUAAUAUCAUUUUAUAAAAAUUAAUAAGAAAUAAAACAACUGCUGAAACUAAAAUGAUAGGAAGCAUAUGUCUCAAACUUAAUACUAUAAAGACCAUAUUAGAAAUCUGAAGCAUGACAAAAAUGUAACUCUCUGGCCUCAACUGACUAGAAAUUUAUUGCUGAUUGUGUUUUCUGUCCCUUCUGGAUUUUUACAAGUCAUGGAUCCUACUACAUUCUUUCUGCAUAUUGAACCAACCUUCUGGGGAGACAGUGGACCUACCAGACACCUACCGGACUGCAACAAUUGUUUCACGUGAUCUUUCAGACGAGAGCAAAUGUCUUCCUAAAUAGAAAAAAAGUUCAGGAAGUCAUUUUCAUAAAGAGUUUUAAUAAAGAGUAAACUAAAAAUUAUGAUACAUAAUUAGAUUUGAUGUCAAACACAAGAUCAUCACAUGGGAGCAUCACCUCUUUUACAAGUCAACAGAGAAUGGAGACCCCCAACCCAAUAAGGAAAAGCCACCAGGAUCCACUCUUCUCCAGUCAUCCAAGAAGGGCUACUGUCCAAGUCCAACUAACUUCAAUGUUACCCUAUGUUUGGCCAAAACUAACUUUAAAAUAAAAUAAAAUAAAAAUUUAUGAAGCUACA